rnacentral:rRNA from 12 species
AGACCCGAAACCCGGUGAUCUAGCCAUGGGCAGGUUGAAGGUUGGGUAACACUAACUGGAGGACCGAACCGACUAAUGUUGAAAAAUUAGCGGAUGACCUGUGGCUGGGGGUGAAAGGCCAAUCAAACCGGGAGAUAGCUGGUUCUCCCCGAAAGCUAUUUAGGUAGCGCCUCGUGAAUUCAUCUCCGGGGGUAGAGCACUGUUUCGGCUAGGGGGCCAUCCCGGCUUACCAACCCGAUGCAAACUGCGAAUACCGGAGAAUGUUAUCACGGGAGACACACGGCGGGUGCUAACGUCCGUCGUGAAGAGGGAAACAACCCAGACCGCCAGCUAAGGUCCCAAAGUCAUGGUUAAGUGGGAAACGAUGUGGGAAGGCCCAGACAGCCAGGAUGUUGGCUUAGAAGCAGCCAUCAUUUAAAGAAAGCGUAAUAGCUCACUGGUCGAGUCGGCCUGCGCGGAAGAUGUAACGGGGCUAAACCAUGCACCGAAGCUGCGGCAGC